UGGGGAAUAUUGCACAAUGGGGGAAACCCUGAUGCAGCAACGCCGCGUGAGUGAUGACGGCCUUCGGGUUGUAAAGCUCUGUCUUCAGGGACGAUAAUGACGGUACCUGAGGAGGAAGCCACGGCUAACUACGUGCCAGCAGCCGCGGUAAUACGUAGGUGGCAAGCGUUGUCCGGAUUUACUGGGCGUAAAGGGAGCGUAGGCGGACUUUUAAGUGAGAUGUGAAAUACCCGGGCUCAACCUGGGUGCUGCAUUUCAAACUGGAAGUCUAGAGUGCAGGAGAGGAGAGUGGAAUUCCUAGUGUAGCGGUGAAAUGCGUAGAGAUUAGGAAGAACACCAGUGGCGAAGGCGACUCUAUGGACUGUAACUGACGCUGAGGCUCGAAAGCGUGGGGAGCAAACA
rnacentral:rRNA from 1 species